GAUGAAGAACGCAGCGAAAUGCGAUAAGUAAUGUGAAUUGCAGAAUUCAGUGAAUCAUCGAAUCUUUGAACGCACAUUGCGCCCCUUGGUAUUCCGAGGGGCAUGCCUGUUCGAGCGUCAUUAUAACCCCUCAAGCUCAGCUUGGUGUUGGGGCCUGCUGCACUGGCAGCCCUUAAAAUCAGUGGCGGCGCCAUCUGGCUCUAAGCGUAGUAAUUCUUCUCGCUAUGGAGUCCUGGUGGAUGCUUGCCAUCAACCCCCAAUUUUUCUAUGGUUGAACUCGGAUCAGGUAGGGAUACCCGCUGAACUUAAGCAUAUCAAUAAGCGGAGA
rnacentral:misc_RNA from 1 species